UUCCGGUUGAUCCCGCCGGACCUGACUGCUAUCGGAUUGAUACUAAGCCAUGCGAGUCAUUGUAGUAAUACAAGGCAGACGGCUCAGUAACGCGUAGUCAACCUACCCUGUGGACGGGGAUAACCUCGGGAAACUGAGAAUAAUACCCGAUAGAACAUUAUGCCUGGAAUGGUUUAUGUUUCAAAUAAUUUAUUGCCGUAGGAUGGGACUGCGUCCUAUCAGUUUGUUGGUGAGGUAAUGGCCCACCAAGACUAUUACAGGUACGGGCUCUGAGAGGAGUAGCCCGGAGAUGGGUACUGAGACACGGACCCAGGCCCUAUGGGGCGCAGCAGGCGAGAAAACUUUGCAAUGUGCGAAAGCACGACAAGGUUAAUCCGAGUGGUUUCUGCUAAAGGAACCUUUUGUCAGUCCUAGAAACACUGAUGAAUAAGGGGUGGGCAAGUUCUGGUGUCAGCCGCCGCGGUAAAACCAGCACCUCAAGUGGUCAGGAUGAUUAUUGGGCCUAAAGCAUCCGUAGCCUGCUUUGUAAGUUUUCGGUUAAAUCCAUACGCUCAACGUAUGGGCUGCCGGGAAUACUGCAAAGCUAGGGAGUGGGAGAGGUAGACGGUACUCGGUAGGAAGGGGUAAAAUCCUUUGAUCUAUUGAUGACCACCUGUGGCGAAGGCGGUCUACCAGAACACGUCCGACGGUGAGGGAUGAAAGCUGGGGGAGCAAACCGGAUUAGAUACCCGGGUAGUCCCAGCUGUAAACUAUGCAAACUCAGUGAUGCAUUGGCUUGAUGCCAAUGCAGUGCUGCAGGGAAGCCGUUAAGUUUGCCGCCUGGGAAGUACGUACGCAAGUAUGAAACUUAAAGGAAUUGGCGGGGGAGCACCACAAGGGGUGAAGCCUGCGGUUCAAUUGGAGUCAACGCCGGG
rnacentral:rRNA from 1 species